rnacentral:rRNA from 1 species
AGAGUUUGAUCAUGGCUCAGAUUGAACGCUGGCGGCAGGCCUAACACAUGCAAGUCGAGCGGUAGCACAGAGAGCUUGCUCUCGGGUGACGAGCGGCGGACGGGUGAGUAAUGUCUGGGAAACUGCCUGAUGGAGGGGGAUAACUACUGGAAACGGUAGCUAAUACCGCAUAANNNNNNNNNNNNNNNNNNNNNNNNNNNNNGUCGCAAGACCAAAGUGGGGGACCUUCGGGCCUCAUGCCAUCAGAUGUGCCCAGAUGGGAUUAGCUAGUAGGUGGGGUAACGGCUCACCUAGGCGACGAUCCCUAGCUGGUCUGAGAGGAUGACCAGCCACACUGGAACUGAGACACGGUCCAGACUCCUACGGGAGGCAGCAGUGGGGAAUAUUGCACAAUGGGCGCAAGCCUGAUGCAGCCAUGCCGCGUGUGUGAAGAAGGCCUUCGGGUUGUAAAGCACUUUCAGCGGGGAGGAAGGCGAUAAGGUUAAUAACCUCAUCGAUUGACGUUACCCGCAGAAGAAGCACCGGCUAACUCCGUGCCAGCAGCCGCGGUAAUACGGAGGGUGCAAGCGUUAAUCGGAAUUACUGGGCGUAAAGCGCACGCAGGCGGUCUGUCAAGUCGGAUGUGAAAUCCCCGGGCUCAACCUGGGAACUGCAUUCGAAACUGGCAGGCUAGAGUCUUGUAGAGGGGGGUAGAAUUCCAGGUGUAGCGGUGAAAUGCGUAGAGAUCUGGAGGAAUACCGGUGGCGAAGGCGGCCCCCUGGACAAAGACUGACGCUCAGGUGCGAAAGCGUGGGGAGCAAACAGGAUUAGAUACCCUGGUAGUCCACGCCGUAAACGAUGUCGAUUUGGAGGUUGUGCCCUUGAGGCGUGGCUUCCGGAGCUAACGCGUUAAAUCGACCGCCUGGGGAGUACGGCCGCAAGGUUAAAACUCAAAUGAAUUGACGGGGGCCCGCACAAGCGGUGGAGCAUGUGGUUUAAUUCGAUGCAACGCGAAGAACCUUACCUGGUCUUGACAUCCACAGAACUUUCCAGAGAUGGAUUGGUGCCUUCGGGAACUGUGAGACAGGUGCUGCAUGGCUGUCGUCAGCUCGUGUUGUGAAAUGUUGGGUUAAGUCCCGCAACGAGCGCAACCCUUAUCCUUUGUUGCCAGCGGUCCGGCCGGGAACUCAAAGGAGACUGCCAGUGAUAAACUGGAGGAAGGUGGGGAUGACGUCAAGUCAUCAUGGCCCUUACGACCAGGGCUACACACGUGCUACAAUGGCAUAUACAAAGAGAAGCGACCUCGCGAGAGCAAGCGGACCUCAUAAAGUAUGUCGUAGUCCGGAUUGGAGUCUGCAACUCGACUCCAUGAAGUCGGAAUCGCUAGUAAUCGUAGAUCAGAAUGCUACGGUGAAUACGUUCCCGGGCCUUGUACACACCGCCCGUCACACCAUGGGAGUGGGUUGCAAAAGAAGUAGGUAGCUUAACCUUCGGGAGGGCGCUUACCACUUUGUGAUUCAUGACUGGGGUGAAGUCGUAACAAGGUAACCGUAGGGGAACCUGCGGUUGGAUCACCU